ensembl:lncRNA
GUCUGAGUUGAUUUUGCAUGUGAUGUCUGGGGAGUGAAGCUCUGGAAAACAAAAUAUCAAGGACAGUUUCCCAGGCUGAGAGGUGAAGGCUGCCUCCCUCCCUCCUAACAAGACCAGGCAGCCGCAGGGUGGGAAGGACUCCAGGAGCGAGUCUGUGCCUGUCUGGGGGAGGACACAGCCCAUGUCUGCUCACCACUUGUCCUGUGCCUCCUUAGGGAAGGCUCUGCCCAGCAGGGCCUGGGACAUCAUCACAUUCGGUGGGUCUUUGUUGGGUGGAUGGAUGGAUUGACAAACAGAUGGACAAAUGGACGGAUGGAUACGUAAACACCAACUGAUGACUGCAUGGCUAGGUGGAUGGAUGGACACCUAUAUGCAGGGAUAAAUAAAUGGAUAGCUGGAUGAAGAGACAGUGCGGAGACAGGUGACAAGAGGGCACAGGACCGCUGUGCACACAGGUUCAAGCAAGCUCAGGUCCCGAGUUUCAAUGCUGCGGACACUGAUGUUUGACAUCACAGACGAUGUAAGAUGUGACCAUGGUGGCACUCAGCGAAGGGUGCACAGAAUCAUGCUGCUCGGCACUGUUUCCUGUCAAUCUACAGCGAUUUUAAAGUUGUCCUUUUUAGGAAAUGAUGAGCGAGCCAGGUGUGAUGUUGGUGAUUGGCACUGAAAUACUGGACCGGAAAGGACCAAGGCAGAAGAGGACGAUAAAGCAAUAAAUCGAGGAUGAGGAAAUGCAACCACCACCACCCGAGCAGAGGGGUGGGGACUCGGGAGUCAUCGGCCAAUCCUCUAUUGGGCAUUUUUGAAAUUUUUCCCUGGAUAAAGAUGCAAAGCUUUCAAAGCUGAAGCAAAUGAGCAAGGUCACGGUCACGUCCACCGGAGUCACGUCCACCGGAUGCUGGCAUAGACCCAGGGCACUGACUCACGCGCUGCGCAGAGUCCAGUGGCCACAGUGUGCGUGUGUGUAAGGAGAAAUCCCAUUUAUGCAGCUGAGACUGCUCUCAUGUCUGUCAGGCUAUCAGCAGAGUGGGGCGCAUGGGGUCCAGGGCUACUUGAACUGCCUGGAAACUGGAGGGUCCUUGGGAGAGGUGGGGUCCACCGCACAGUUUCUGGGGGCUGGGGAAGGAACUGGCUUCUAGGUGUGGAAAGGCGUGGCUGAUUUGUCCUAUCUGAGCCCCUCCAUGGCAUGAUCAGGAUUUGAAACUGAUGUCUUGACCUUGGAAAAGGUCAGAAAAUUGCACAGGGCUUCACUGUUCUCCACUAGAGAUCGGGUCCCAUGACAGCAGGAAACUCCCAGGGCUGUCCCCAGCACCCACUCGGUGCCAGGCCUACUGCAUGAAGGGCUCUGUGCAUAUUAAAUCCUUCAAAGCACAGCACUGUGACCACCUCUGUUGCCAGAGGAGAAAUGAAGGCACAGAGAAGUUAGGAUAGUUGCCCAAGCUCACACAGAUAUCAAAUUGAGGAACUGCUAUUCAAACUAUGUAAAAGGUAGAACACAGAGUUCCAAGUUCUUCAGUGUGAUUACUAUUAAUAUUUUUUUUUUUUUUUUGGUACCGGGGAUUGAACUCAGGACCCAGGCGGCAGCACCACUGAGCUAAAUCCCCAGCCCUUAUUAUUUAAAAAUAUAAAGCAGAUCUGUAACUUGGGCACUUUCUGGAAAGGAAAUGUAGGGUAGAAAAAGUCCAUCCCCUUCUGAAGACUUGCUGUCAGUUUAGCCCUGGUUGAGAACUGGGAGCCAGAGGAGUCCUGGUAGUCCAACCCCCUGCCUGAUCCCCAGCCUAGGCCAAGGACAACUGCUCCCCCAUAAAGGGCCAGCCAGGGCAAGCUGGGUGUGGGGAGCAGGGGCCUCACCUAGGAGCCAAGUCUGCACCCCCCAGUUUGAUAGGCCCCAGCGCCUGACCUUAGCACUACAGGCCCUGAGGAGCCUGCCAGGGGACAGCAGUGGGGACACUGGGUGAAGGGACCUCCCACAGUCGCCAACCUCAGAAGCAGUGCUGCUCUCCUCACCCUGUGAUGGGGCCUCAGUUUC